UACAGGGGGGGCAAGCGUUGUUCGGAAUUACUGGGCGUAAAGGGUUCGUAGGUGGCUUACUAAGUCAAAUGUGAAAUCCCUCAGCUUAACUGGGGAACUGCGUCUGAUACUGGAAAGCUUGAGUGCAGGAGAGGAACGCGGAAUUCCAGGUGUAGCGGUGAAAUGCGUAGAUAUCUGGAGGAACACCGGUGGCGAAGGCGGCGUUCUGGACUGCAACUGACACUGAGGAACGAAAGCCAGGGGAGCAAACGGG
rnacentral:rRNA from 1 species